rnacentral:rRNA from 1 species
GAUGAACGCUGGCGGCGUGCUUAACACAUGCAAGUCGAACGAUGAAGCCCAGCUUGCUGGGUGGAUUAGUGGCGAACGGGUGAGUAACACGUGAGUAACCUGCCCUUGACUUUGGGAUAACUUCAGGAAACUGGGGCUAAUACCGGAUAGGAGCUCCUGCUGCAUGGUGGGGGUUGGAAAGUUUCGGCGGUUGGGGAUGGACUCGCGGCUUAUCAGCUUGUUGGUGGGGUAGUGGCUUACCAAGGCUUUGACGGGUAGCCGGCCUGAGAGGGUGACCGGCCACAUUGGGACUGAGAUACGGCCCAGACUCCUACGGGAGGCAGCAGUGGGGAAUAUUGCACAAUGGGCGGAAGCCUGAUGCAGCAACGCCGCGUGCGGGAUGACGGCCUUCGGGUUGUAAACCGCUUUCGCCUGUGACGAAGCGUGAGUGACGGUAAUGGGUAAAGAAGCACCGGCUAACUACGUG